GACGAACGCUGGCGGCGUGCUUAACACAUGCAAGUCGAACGGUAAGGCCCUUCGGGGUACACGAGUGGCGAACGGGUGAGUAACACGUGGGUGAUCUGCCCUGCACUUCGGGAUAAGCCUGGGAAACUGGGUCUAAUACCGGAUAGGACCCUGGGAUGCAUGUCCUGGGGUGGAAAGCUUUUGCGGUGUGGGAUGGGCCCGCGGCCUAUCGGCUUGUUGGUGGGGUGAUGGCCUACCAAGGCGACGACGGGUAGCCGGCCUGAGAGGGUGACCGGCCACACUGGGACUGAGAGACGGCCCAGACUCAUACGGGAGGCAGCAGUGGGGAAUAUUGCACAAUGGGCGCAAUCCUGAUGCAGCGACGCCGCGUGAGGGAUGACGGCCUUCGGGUUGUAAACCUCUUUCAGCACCGACGAAGCGCAAGUGACGGUAGGUGCAGAAGAAGGACCGGCCAACUACGUGCCAGCCGCCGCAGUAA
rnacentral:rRNA from 1 species